rnacentral:rRNA from 1 species
GGGGGUCAUCCCGACUUACCAACCCGAUGCAAACUGCGAAUACCGGAGAAUGUUAUCACGGGAGACACACGGCGGGUGCUAACGUCCGUCGUGAAGAGGGAAACAACCCAGACCGCCAGCUAAGGUCCCAAAGUCAUGGUUAAGUGGGAAACGAUGUGGGAAGGCCCAGACAGCCAGGAUGUUGGCUUAGAAGCAGCCAUCAUUUAAAGAAAGCGUAAUAGCUCACUGGUCGAGUCGGCCUGCGCGGAAGAUGUAACGGGGCUAAACCAUGCACCGAAGCUGCGGCAGCGACACUAUGUGUUGUUGGGUAGGGGAGCGUUCUGUAAGCCUGUGAAGGUGUGCUGUGAGGCAUGCUGGAGGUAUCAGAAGUGCGAAUGCUGACAUAAGUAACGAUAAAGCGGGUGAAAAGCCCGCUCGCCGGAAGACCAAGGGUUCCUGUCCAACGUUAAUCGGGGCAGGGUGAGUCGACCCCUAAGGCGAGGCCGAAAGGCGUAGUCGAUGGGAAACAGGUUAAUAUUCCUGUACUUGGUGUUACUGCGAAGGGGGGACGGAGAAGGCUAUGUUGGCCGGGCGACGGUUGUCCCGGUUUAAGCGUGUAGGCUGGUUUUCCAGGCAAAUCCGGAAAAUCAAGGCUGAGGCGUGAUGACGAGGCACUACGGUGCUGAAGCAACAAAUGCCCUGCUUCCAGGAAAAGCCUCUAAGCAUCAGGUAACAUUAAAUCGUACCCCAAACCGACACAGGUGGUCAGGUAGAGAAUACCAAGGCGCUUGAGAGAACUCGGGUGAAGGAACUAGGCAAAAUGGUGCCGUAACUUCGGGAGAAGGCACGCUGAUAUGUAGGUGAAGUCCCUCGCGGAUGGAGCUGAAAUCAGUCGAAGAUACCAGCUGGCUGCAACUGUUUAUUAAAAACACAGCACUGUGCAAACACGAAAGUGGACGUAUACGGUGUGACGCCUGCCCGGUGCCGGAAGGUUAAUUGAUGGGGUUAGCGGUAACGCGAAGCUCUUGAUCGAAGCCCCGGUAAACGGCGGCCGUAACUAUAACGGUCCUAAGGUAGCGAAAUUCCUUGUCGGGUAAGUUCCGACCUGCACGAAUGGCGUAAUGAUGGCCAGGCUGUCUCCACCCGAGACUCAGUGAAAUUGAACUCGCUGUGAAGAUGCAGUGUACCCGCGGCAAGACGGAAAGACCCCGUGAACCUUUACUAUAGCUUGACACUGAACAUUGAGCCUUGAUGUGUAGGAUAGGUGGGAGGCUUUGAAGUGUGGACGCCAGUCUGCAUGGAGCCGACCUUGAAAUACCACCCUUUAAUGUUU